rnacentral:tRNA from 1 species
GGCCAGGUGGCGAAAUUGGCAGACGCGAUGGACUCAAAAUCCAUUGAUCGCAAGAUCGUGAGGGUUCAACUCCCUCCCUGGCCA